CCUGUUUAACAAAAACAUGUCUUUUUGAGUUAUUUUUAAAGUCUGACCUGCCCACUGAAAUUAUUUAAAUGGCCGCAGUAUUCUAACUGUGCAAAGGUAGCAUAAUCAUUAGUCUUUUAAUUGAAGGCUGGUAUGAACGGUUGGACGAGGUAUAAGCUGUUUCAUAAAAAUUUAUAAUAGAAUUUUAUAUUUUAGUCAAAAAGCUAAAAUUUAAUUAAAAGACGAGAAGACCCUAUAAAUCUUUAUACUUUAUAUUGUUUAAAUUUUUUGGAUUAGGUUUAUUUUUAUAAUUUGAAGUAUUUUGUUGGGGUGAUAUUAAAAUUUAAUGAACUUUUAAUUUUAAAAAAUCAUUAAUUUAUGAAUUGUUGAUCCAUUAAUAGUGAUUAUAAGAUUAAGUUACUUUAGGGAUAACAGCGUAAUUUUUUUGGAGAGUUCAUAUCGAUAAAAAAGUUUGCGACCUCGAUGUUGGAUUAAGAUAUAUUUUUAGGUGUAGCCGCUUAAAU
rnacentral:rRNA from 2 species